rnacentral:rRNA from 1 species
AUGCAACUCUGGUCACUGGAGGGGGCGGCGGAGAUCAUUGGCGACAAGUGCAUCAUCGAUCGGCUUGACACGCGCACCCAUGAGCGCGGCCACACCAAGACCUUCGCGUGCUGGGUGUGGGUGUGGGACGUCGCCAACAUCCCCACUAGACGCAUCAUUUGGCGGGCGAAGCACGGGGCGGGGCGAGUUGAGGCCAUGCUCGGGCACUCGCGGCCCAGCCGUGAGGUCGCCCCGCCACCUGGAGUAAGAAGGCACGACAUGCUGGUACACGUCAAUAGGGUGGAGGACUGGACCCCGCCGUCCCCGCGCCCCUUCGGCUUCGCCUAG